UACGUAGGAGGCAAGCGUUAUCCGGAUUUACUGGGUGUAAAGGGGGCGCAGACGGCAAUGCAAGCCAGGAGUGAAAGCCCGGGGCCCAACCCCGGGACUGCUCUUGGAACUGCAUGGCUGGAGUACAGGAGGGGCAGGCGGAAUUCCUAGUGUAGCGGUGAAAUGCGUAGAUAUUAGGAGGAACACCGGUGGCGAAGGCGGCCUGCUGGACUGUGACUGACGUUGAGGCCCGAAGGCGUGGGGAGCAAACAGG
rnacentral:rRNA from 1 species